UGGCGGUCCUUUACUCGUCAAACGGCUCUGUUGUUGUUGUGGGAGCUCAACUGAGGACAGAUUUGCUUUACAAGAAGAAAUAAAACAUGAAUGUGACAAACUACUUGACAAGAAAAGACGGAUUUGUAGUUCAGUUAGAGGAGGAAAAUCCUGAUCAUCUGAGACAUCUUUACCUGACUGAAAAAAAACGACCUGUCCUGAUUCUCCACUGCUUAUGAUCCACACAUCCAAGGAUGAUGUACAAAACACGUGAAUGUCCAAGAGAAACAGUACUGAUGCUCAGGAGAAAGGACAGAAGAUAAUGAGAAGAUAAAGGAGGAGCUGAGAGGAUAAAGAGAGGAAUUCAAGACAAAACUCCAAAAAGAGUGAACUCGAGCUCAAUCUACAGAUGAAUCUGUUACUGCAGAAGAUCCAAACUCAACACAAAUCAUUCAAUAGCAGUAAGACUCAAAACCCUCAGGUUUAAAUCGUUUAAAACAUUGAUGUUGAAAUGCACCUUCACACAAGAAACUGUGCUGUUUAGACGGCCGCUUAAAUAAAACCACAUUUGUAUACAGUAUGAUGCUCUCUGAUAUUUUAUUUAUAC